CAAGCGUUGUUCGGAUUUACUGGGCGUAAAGGGCGCGUAGGCGGCCAGCACAAGUCAGUUGUGAAAUCUCCGGGCUUAACUCGGAAAGGUCAGCUGAUACUGUGCGGCUAGAGUGCAGAAGGGGCAACUGGAAUUCUCGGUGUAGCGGUGAAAUGCGUAGAUAUCGAGAGGAACACCUGCGGCGAAGGCGGGUUGCUGGGCUGACACUGACGCUGAUGCGCGAAAGCCAGGGGAGCGAACGGG
rnacentral:rRNA from 1 species